rnacentral:piRNA from 1 species
CUCACCGUGUAGACCAGGCUGGCC